rnacentral:rRNA from 1 species
GUGCCAGCCGCCGCGGUAAUACGUAGGGUGCGAGCGUUAAUCGGAAUUACUGGGCGUAAAGCGUGCGCAGGCGGUUUCGUAAGACAGACGUGAAAUCCCCGGGCUCAACCUGGGAACUGCGUUUGUGACUGCGAGGCUAGAGUACGGCAGAGGGGGGUAGAAUUCCACGUGUAGCAGUGAAAUGCGUAGAGAUGUGGAGGAAUACCGAUGGCGAAGGCAGCCCCCUGGGUUAGUACUGACGCUCAUGCACGAAAGCGUGGGGAGCAAACAGGAUUAGAUACCCUGGUAGUCCACGCCCUAAACGAUGUCAACUAGGUGUUGGAAGGGUUAAACCUUUUAGUACCGCAGCUAACGCGUGAAGUUGACCGCCUGGGGAGUACGGCCGCAAGGUUAAAACUCAAAGGAAUUGACGG